rnacentral:lncRNA from 1 species
UAAUUUACCAAAGGGUAUGGUGUAGAACUCGUACCUGAGACCUUCAUCGAAGACUCUUGAUCUGAGCUGAGAAGAACGUGAUGGGUGUUGUCGAGGCACUGCGCAUUGUAGCUUACGUAAUCUCGUAGUUUCACUGAAGGCAUCUUUUCUCUGUGACCUCGUCCUAAUUCUGUUUCUUUUACUUCUUCACUGCUGGUUGUCACUGGUUGAUCACCCUCUGAAUUGUUACUUUCGUUGAGUCCAUCUGGUUCAUUAGACUCAUUUGUCUUUGCAGACUUACUCUCCUCCAUCGCCAAAACAGCAUCAUCUGCUGUAGUUACUUGUUCUGCUCCUUCUACCAUAGGAGCCACGCUUUGUUUCUCCUUAACCACAUCAAUAGAAUCACUCCCCCUGUCUUCAGUAUCCAAGAUAGAGUUGAUGAUCCAAUCAUCAUCAGGUCCCCCAAUC